UAGAAUUCCACGUGUAGCAGUGAAAUGCGUAGAGAUGUGGAGGAAUACCGAUGGCGAAGGCAGCCUCCUGGGAUAACACUGACGUUCAUGCUCGAAAGCGUGGGUAGCAAACAGGAUUAGAUACCUGGUAGUCCACGCCCUAAACGAUGACAAUUAGCUGUUGGGACACUAGAUGUCUUAGUAGCGAAGCUAACGCGUGAAAUUGUCCGCCUGGGGAGUACGGUCGCAAGAUUAAAACUCAAAGGAAUUGACGGGGACCCGCACAAGCGGUGGAUGAUGUGGAUUAAUUCGAUGCAACGCGAAGAACCUUACCUGGUCUUGACAUGUACGGAAUCUCUUAGAGAUAGGAGAGUGCCUUCGGGAACCGUAACACAGGUGCUGCAUGGCUGUCGUCAGCUCGUGUCGUGAGAUGUUGGGUUAAGUCCCGCAACGAGCGCAACCCUUGUCAUUAGUCCCCAUCCAUUAAGGUGGGCAGUCUAAUGAGACUGCCGGUGAUAUGCCGGAGGAAGGUCGGGAUGACGUCAAAGUCAUCAUGGCCCUUAUGACCAGGGCUUCACACGUCAUACAAUGGUCGGUACAGAGGGUAGCGAAGCCGCGAGGUGAAGCCAAUCUCAGAAAGCCGAUCGUGGUCCGGAUUGCACUCUGCAACUCGAGUGCAUGAAGUCGGAAUCGCUAGUAAUCGCAGGUCAGCAUAC
rnacentral:rRNA from 2 species